rnacentral:lncRNA from 1 species
CAGUGAGGACUUAGUGGGAAGAAGAGGAGAGUUAAAAUUACUGGUUGGUAUAUUUUAAGAUUUCAAAUUACCUAGUAACCCUGACCUGCUGUGUAAGAGAAAGAUUGAAGACCGUCUGUGCACGUGUUGUGGGGACAAACACCUGCAGCGCUCUGAACCUGCCUCAGUUCCAGGGGUCACAGAGCAUCUUCCACUCAGCAGCUUCCUCACCAAUAUGCGAUUUCAGGUCCACAGACAAUGUGAGCCAAGUGCUGCAGCAGGAGGCAGUGGCCCCCCGGCCAGGGCCCAGCACAGAGCCUAGCAAAGGAAACACAGGAAGGAGAGGUGAAAAAGGUGAGCUGUGCCGCGGAUCAGCGAUCCUUUCACCUAGAGAUGGUCGAGCGGGGCAUGCCUGCCUCAUACCACAGAAGCACACUCUCCAAGGGUGCACUGGAAUCCUGGAGAGUUUUUAGAUGAUUCGGCUUCUGGAUUCUCAACUGUGUAUUAUCUUCCUUGGAAAGUGAUCGGCCUCAGACCAUGCUCUGAGCGUGCCCGUGGCUCCCCUUCCCACCUCUUCUCACAUCUCGUUUCUGCUGCUUACAAAGAACAGCGUGGCCCUCCCAUAUGACAGCCCUUACUAUGCAAGCUUGUUCAUGAUGAAAACAUCUUGGGAAGGCCACAGCCCGGACGACUCAGAAUGCCAUGUACGUGUCAGGGAAGUCUCUUAAUCCAGACUCCCAAACCUCACCUGUCCCUCUUAUUAAACAAUGUAUUUCCAAAAAAAAUUACUUUUUAUUGCUUAUUAAGUACCAAAACUAAUAGGUGCUAUGUUGUCUUGAUCAUUUGUGGACUAAUAAAUAAUAUUAUUGGUUCCUGAAACCUCUGCCCCCCAUUUUAACUUAAAUGACUUUAUUUUUUUUUUAAGAUUUAUUUAUUUAUUCAUGAGAGACACAGAGAGAGGCAGAGACACAGGCAGAGGGAGAAGAAGCAGGUUCCAUGCAGGGAGCCUGAUGUGGGGCUCGAGCUCAGAUCCAGGGAUCAUGCCCUGAGCCGAGGGCAGGUGCUCAACCGCUAAGCCACCCAGGCGUCCCAACUUGAAUGACUUUAAUACUAUUUUAAUUUAAAAUUAUAUACCUAUGCUUGGUCACUGAUGAUCAGGUGAUCAAUAAACAAUAUUCCAAGGGAAAGGUGUAUCACCUUAUGGUAAAUUAUUGAGAAAAUAAAAUAAAAAUAUGGUUCCCAAGGGAAAGGAAGUCAUGCACAAUUUAUGACUUUUACAAAAGAGCUUAUUUGUGUAUUUUAAAAAUGGAUGAUGGUCAGAAGCACAUUUAAAUUAAGUUUAAAAUACCAAAUUUAAAUAUGAUGCCCAAAUUCUGUCCUUGCAAGCAUUUAGACCAACAAUGAAAAAUUGGGGAUAUCACCUUAAAAUGUGUUAUGUUAUCAAAAGUUUGAGGGUCUCACCACCCGUCAGCACUGCUGUUGGAGGCAUUGUAUCACAGGCCUAUUUUUCCUCCUAAUUAUUUCUCUGGUUUUAGUUUAUUGGUAUGUUUAAAAUCAUCCUCAUGAAAUCUUUGGUUCUACAGGAUGGGGGAACUUGAGGUCUUACAUGUGAUGGGAAGGAGCUAGGAAAGAUGAAGAGGUGGGAGGUACAGAUGAGAGGAGGACCCAGUGAGGGAUCAAGGCCUGGGACGCGUGGCUACAUCGUGAUGAGAGGUUUGCCCAUUUCUUUGCCUCUUGUGGGAAGGACGUGAGAAUAACUUGGAGCCAGCUGUGUUUGAUGGUGAUGGUGGUGGUGAUGGGGGAGUGGAGCGUUGCUUAGCUAAUAAAGGCAAGUUGCCUCAAUUUCCUUGAUGGAGGAAGAAGCACAUUUUUUGAGGGUGAAGAAGGCAAAAUUGAGUAGCUGAUAUGUGUGUGACAUGUUAAGCUUUGGAGAGAAUGGCUCCUACCCAGAGAUUGUGACACGGUGCUGAGCGUCAGGUUGCACCCUUACAAUGACAAUUUUUUAAAAAAAAGAUUUUAUUUAUUUAUUUGAGAGAGAGAGAGAGACGGAGAGAGAACAUGAGUGGGGGGAAGGGCAAAAGCAGAGUGAGAAGCAGAUGCUCUGCUGACCGUGGAGCUCGACCGUGGAGCUCGACCCCAGGCCCUGGGAUCAUGAUCUGCGCCCAAGGCAGGUGCUUCACCCACUGAGCCUCCCAGGUGCCCCCCGACUAUGACAAUCC